UUGCCGGGGAGCAAAGUGCCGCACGUGUGCGGUUUGGAGAGUACCCGGAGAAAAAGCAUCGGCUAACUCCGUGCCAGCAGCCGCGGUAAUACGGAGGAUGCGAGCGUUAUCCGGAUUUAUUGGGUUUAAAGGGUGCGUAGGCGGACGCUUAAGUCAGCGGUAAAAUUGCGGGGCUCAACCUCGUCGAGCCGUUGAAACUGGGUGCCUUGAGUGGGCGAGAAGUACGCGGAAUGCGUGGUGUAGCGGUGAAAUGCAUAGAUAUCACGCAGAACUCCGAUUGCGAAGGCAGCCUGCCAAGCCAUGACUGACGCUGAUGCACGAAAGCGUGGGGAUCAAAC
rnacentral:rRNA from 1 species